AGUACUGGUGCUCUAAGUGUUAAUCUUAUAAAUCAAGCCGUUAUCAACAAUAUUUAUAUAAUGAUGCCCUAAAUCAAUUUGAAGAGUGUGUGUGUGUGUGUGUGUGCGUGCGUGUGUGUGUGUGUGUUAGGGAUAAUGUAAAUUCAUUAUCAACAACAACAUUUCAUGUUUAUAAAUCUGGAGCUUCCUCUUUUGGUUGCAAUAAACACAUUUAAAGAACUACAUGAAUCACCUAUGACACAAACAUGUCCUUGUUUAUUUUUUCAUCUUUUUCCUCAUAAAAAAUCUCAAUAACCCUAUGCCUCUUAUUUUUAUUGUGCUACGAUCCAUCGAGGGAGAAAAUAUAAUAUAAAAAUACUAUAAAGAGAAUAGAACAUUAAUAUUACACAUAAAAAAUGAAGAGUUUAAUUCCAAAACGCUAUAUAUCCAUUUUCAGAAAUGUUGGCAAAUUAGCGUUUAUUGUUUAAAUAAAUAUUGAAAGAGAUUGGUGUGUUUUUUUCACUUCCUAAUCAUGGCAUGGGGUUCUUCAGUGACAGACAUGUAUUUGUUAAUAAUCUAUCACUUGAUGGUUUCAUUUUCAGAGACAUAAUCAUUAUUUUUGUUGCAAAAUGCUACAUAUCCAGUUUCACACAGUCAAAUGUAACAAAUAACCCACAUUUUAAUGAACAAAUGUAUAAAUGAUGCAUUUGUGACAUCAAUAUAUAUAUAUAUUUUUUUAAACAAAUAAUUGAAUACAGUAAUAUGAGAUAUCGAUGUAAAACAUUCACAUUUUACAUUUUUUGUCAUUUAGCAGAUGCUCUUAUCCAGUGCAUUUAUGUUAAGAAGCUAGGUGAGACAACCACAUAUCACAGUCAAAUAUACAGGAUACGAACAGUCUAUUCAGGCUAAACAAUGGAUAUAUAGUGUUUGGCAAUGAAACUAAUAAUACAAAUCAUAUACAUCUAAAAAUGUUUAAUAAAAAAAUUUGAGAACAGUAAUAUUUUACAAACACAUGAAGGUACCCACAAGCAAUCACUUCUGAUGAAAAACACAAAUGUAAAAAAAAAAUUGGUGGAUAUAGGGUUUUGGAAAUAAACUCUUCAAAUACACACUAUCAUUGCAUACAUCAAUUUGACCUUUGACCUUUGAAAUGCAUAGGGAUGAUCACAUGUAAAAUGCCUCAGAAGCUUGUUAAACUCUAACCUUAAGAAACCCUUUUUUUUUGCCACUUCAUAUUGCGUAGAAAAACACUUGUCUUCAAUCUCAACGUUUUAUAAUUCAUACAUGAAGAUACCUACAGUACAUGUAACACUCGUUGCUAUGCGAUUGAAAUUCAUUGAGAAUUUCCCCGUUUACAAAACGGUCUUCUUGAUUUAUGAAUACAGGCCCAGAAUUAUGAAACUGCCUUUAACAUUGGCCUUCCAUUACCAGGGAUAGAUUUUGGUGGAGUUACAUAAAAGCUACAGAGACAGAGAGAGAGAGGAGAGUGGGAGAGAGAGAGAGAGAGUGGAAGAGAGAGAGAGAGAGAGAGAAAGAAAGAGGAGAGUGGGAGAGAGAGAGAGAGAGAGAGAGAGAGAGAGAGAGAGAGAGAGAGAGAGAGAGAAAGAGAAAGAGGGAGAGAGAGGAAAGUGGGCGAAGAGAGAGAGAGAGAGAGAGAGAGAGAAAUGAGAGUGGGAGAGAAAGAACCUAUGACAUUUCAAAUGUGAGUGUAACGUUUAAUGUUUUUUUAUUGUUUAUUUCACAUUUGUUUACUUUCCAUUUCACUUGCUUUGACAAUGUAAACAUAUGUUUCCCAUGCCAAUAAAACCCCUUCAUUUGAAUUGAGUUGAAUUGAGAGAGAGAGAGAGAGAGAGAGAGAGAGAGAGAGAGAGAGAGAGAAGGUGAAAGACAGAGAGAGAAAGAGAAAGAGAGAGAGGGUAUGUGAAAUUAUGAGAAAGGAAAGAGACAUAAGAAAGGGAAGGCGAGAGAGAGAGAGAGAGAGAGAGAGAAAGGAGAAAAAGAAACUGUCUAUAAUUCUGUGGCCAGAGCCAGUUCCGUGGGCAAUAAUACAAGCCUGAACAGAGAUGGUGAUUGUUCUUAUGAGAAUUCUCUAAAAUUUCGUGGAACAAUGAGUGCUUUCUACUUCAUAGACCCAACUGGUGCUUUCCAACACAGGGUAUAAACGGGACUCUGGAUAUGUGUCCCAAAUGGCACCCUAUGGGCCCUGGUCAACAGUAGUGCACUACCCUAUGGGCCCUGGUCAACAGUAGUGCACUACGUAGGGAAGGGUGCCAUUUGGAACGUAUCCUGGGGCAGGGAAAACAUUUGGAGUAAUCCUCAGAUAAUUACGAGUAAAAAGUGUUUUGGCAAGGGGUUGCUGCUCUGGGGACCAAGAAAAUAGCUUCAAAAAUAGAUUUUUAAAGAGAAGGCAGGAAUUUUCUUGACCACAUGAGAGAUAAAGGGCUAAUAAUAGUCCUAAAUAUACUCUUUCUCAAUAACAAGCUAGUGGAGGCAGACGUUUUCCCACAUGCAAACAUGUUUUCUGAGAAAUCUUAAAGAGACGGCCAUGCUUGUUUACUUGUCGACUACUCACUGAUAUGUAAUACACUCCGAUGACUUAGAAAGAUAAUACAGCUUAUUGUUUGCCUGGAUAGAAACUAAGUUGUGGCUUUUCUAAUUUUUCCAAACAUCUUUCUGCUUGCCUGGCUUUAAUAACUGGCAUAGGUAACUGGCAUAGGUAACUGGCAUAGGUAACUGGCAUAGGUAACUGGCAUAGGUAACUGGCAUUGGUUACUGGCAUUGCUAGCUAGACAUGCUAGAAGGUGCAUGUUAUUUUAUCUUUCUUGACCACAUUGUAAGCAGUGUACUGAAACUGGUUUUUGAGAACCUAAAAAAGUAACGAAACACAGAGAGGAAUGUUACUAACUUCUUCCAGGAUCUAUUUGUUGCUUUCUUGCUCCAACUCCUACAGUCAUUGUUUGGCAUGACGACCACAGUUUUUUUUAAACAUUUUUUUAAAGACAUCACAAACAGAACUGGUACCAGGUUAGAAUGUUUACCAGCGAGAGAAACUGAAGGACGUUGCUGAGUUCCAGUAAAACUCAAAGCAUUGCGGCAUUGUCAGCCAAGAAACCCAAAGACCUCGUCCUCAGUCCUUAAUUUCUAACGAGUGGUUGACUAAACAUGUCAUAUCAAGUUUGUACCAAAGUAUAUCUAAUCUAGUUGCUGAUAUGAUGCAGUACUGAUAUGAACUAUUUCGGGGCUGCAGAAUGUUUCGGGAGACUGGAUGAAUACUGUGUAAAAGGGAGCAUACCAGAUCACCAAUGUAAAGAUUUGAGAAUGGUAAAUAUCGUUGCAAUCGAGAGUGUGUAAGACCAUGCAUUCAUUACCUUUCUACAGUAUAAUGACGACGGCACUGUACUGUAAUUCAUUUAAAAAUCCUUCAAUUCUCUGUUUCUUUCUACCAUUAAAUGUUGUUGUUUUUUCACAGAGAGAGAGCUCUGAUCUCUUGUCCCUGGUUUGUGAUUAAUGAGUGUUCGCUAUAAUUCGACCUUAAUAUCAAAUCAAGCAGAAGGAUUCCUCGCAUAGAGGAGAUGGAAGGAUGAUACGUGACCGAUUCUUUACCAGCCCUGUUUCAUAACCAAUAUUCCUAGUAGUUAUUGAUUAUAUGGGUUAAUAAUAGGUGGCCUGAGCAGAUAUGGUGUUACCUCAGGGUCGUGGUCAGAAGAAAACUAGCUGGACUUUUUUCAUUGUCUGUUGUAAAACGUUUUUGAAUUUUUUUUCUGUUGUAAACAGUUUUGAAAUGUUUUCUGUUGUUAAAACGUUUUGAAAAUGUUUUCUGUUGUAAAAAACGUUUUGAAAAUGUUUUCUGUUGUGUGUCCUAAUGAAAACCAAGACUUUGCUGCCAUUGGUCAUUAGUACAUUAGUACAAUGGCACAUAGUUUAUUAAUACCAAGAACACUAUUCAAUCUGUAUCGCAGAAAUUCAGUGUUGCAGAAAGACUGGAAUGUAAAGGCAAUGUUCCCACAGUAGUAGUGUUCCCACAUAUGUCGGCUCAAUCAGAAGAGGACUGGCCACCCCUCAUAGCCUGGUUCCUCUCUAGGUUUCUUCCCAGGUUCUGGCCUUUCUAGGGAGUUUUUCCUAGCCAACGUGCUUCUACACCUGCAUUGCUUGCUGUUUGGGGUUUUAGGCUGGGUUUCUGUACAGCACUUUGUGACAUCAGCUGAUGUAAGAAGGGCUUUAUAAAUACAUUUGAUUGAUUGAUUGAUUGAAUCGGAAAUCACCUUUAAAUUACUAGCACAGAAUCUGUAACGCUUCAUGGAUACAGCUUGAAUAGAGCCCAAAUCUAUUAACAGAGAGGUUGUUACUUCAGGUUGACCUGGGGGUCAAAUGAAAGCAGGCCUCAGUGUCCUCUGUGCUUUAACUUCUUAACAGCAAGGCUAAAAAUGCUGGGAGCUGGACACUGUGCUGGAAGAGGGUUUGGUGCUGCUAUAUUAUGCCCAGGUUUAACUGUAAGUCUAAAAUAGCCCCAGCCAUUUUCCAUCAUGGGAAACAUUUGUAAUAUUUGGCCGGUAGAGGUGGGGGAGUGGCAGCUUGGCUUUAGUUUAGUUCAGAGAGGAUGUUAUGUGCCCUCCAAUUCCAAUAUGGCACAUGGGGACAUGGUGCCAGGACAGAGGGGUAGAGGCAUAGAUGGAUAGAGGGGUAGAUGGAUAGAGGUGUAGAGGGGUAGAUGGACAGAGGGGUAGAUGGAUAGAGGGGCAGAGGGAUAGAGGGGCAGAUGGAUAGAGGGAUAGAGGGGCAGAUGGAUAGAGGGUUAGAGGAUAGAGGGGCAGAUGAAUAGAGGGAUAGAGGGAUAGAGGGGUAGAGGGAUAGAGGGGUAGAUGAACAGAGGGAUAGAGGGGUAAAGGGGUAGAUGAACAGAGGGGUAGAGGGGUAGAUAAACAGAGGGAGUGGACAGAAAGGAGGACAAACUGAAGAAUACAUCAGUAGGAUAAACAAGCAUAACCUGGAAAUGGUUUUACUCAUUGGAUUACUAUUAUGUCUCUGUUGCUUGAGGGCAUCCGUAAAUCCGUUUGGCCAAAGCGUUGAAAUAUGAAAGCGCAUCAAUCAAUACACACAAAUAAAAAAGGAUUGCAGUGUAAAUACUCAUCUGACCACUGACUGACCACAAUAUGUCCAUAUAAACGUCUUUCAUCUGACCACUGACUGACCACAAUAUGUCCAUAUAAACGUCUUUCAUCUGACCACUGACUGACCACAAUAUGUCCAUAUAAAAGUCUUUGCUGAAGGACCAAACACUUUCGUUUUAUUAUCCCCAUCAGCCCCCCAAUAGCAGCAGGCUUCUGCAUUGUCCUCCUUCACCAUCUGUCAACAGUGUGUGUGUGUAUGUGUGUGUGUGUGUGUGUGUGUGUGUGUGUGUGUGUGUGUGUGUGUGUGUGUGUGUGUGUGUGUGUGUUCAUAUGCGUGUGCUUUUCCAUGCCGAAAUGGCUUCUGCUUUUUGAAGACUCAAACAAACAAAAGCAGUUUCAGAAUAGGUCACAGGUCAACUGUUUCUUCAUUUUUUUUAUAUAAGGGGUUGACAUAAUGACAACACAGGAAACACGAGACUUGGGGUAAAAAGGAAUCUGUAAAAACAUCUUAACAUUUUUUUUUACCGUGUUUGAUAGGGCUGAAGACAGAGUUCUGUGAGUCUGUACGGUGUAGCUGUUGGUACAAGUCCAGCCUCCACGGGUAGUGUCUGUGGUUCCGUGUCAGUUGAACACCUGGUCACAGGUCCAGGGAUGUACGUAGUAAACACGUCAACUUUGUAUGUGCACCUUUAAUUUUUAUCUGUAUAGUAGUGUCACAGGUCUGUGAUGCUGGUCUGUGUUUCUGUCUCUGUGUGUCUGUGGUUACAGGUCUGUAGUUACAGGUAUGUGGUUACAGGUCUGUAGUUACAGGGCUGUAGUUACAGGUCUGUGGUUACAGGUCUGUGGUUACAGGUCUGUAGUUACAGGUCUGUGGUUACAGGUCUGUGGUUACAGGUCUGUGGUUACAGGUCUGUAGUUACAGGUCUGUGGUUACAGGUCUGUAGUUACAGGUCUGCAGUUACAGGUCUGCAGUUACAGGUCUGUGGUUACAGGUCUGUAGUUACAGGUCUGUGGUCACAGGUCUGUAGUUACAGGUCUGUGGUCACAGGUCUGUGGUUACAGGUCUGUAGUUACAGGUCUGUGGUUACAGGUCUCUAGUUACAGGUCUGUAGUUACAGGUCUGUAGUUA
rnacentral:lncRNA from 1 species